GAUGAACGCUGGCGGCGCGCCUAACACAUGCAAGUCGAACGGCACCCCUCUCCGGAGGGAAGCGAGUGGCGAACGGCUGAGUAACACGUGGAGAACCUGCCCCCUCCCCCGGGAUAGCCGCCCGAAAGGACGGGUAAUACCGGAUACCCCCGGGCGCCGCAUGGCGCCCGGGCUAAAGCCCCGACGGGAGGGGAUGGCUCCGCGGCCCAUCAGGUAGACGGCGGGGUGACGGCCCACCGUGCCGACAACGGGUAGCCGGGUUGAGAGACCGACCGGCCAGAUUGGGACUGAGACACGGCCCAGACUCCUACGGGAGGCAGCAGUGGGGAAUCUUGCGCAAUGGGGGGAACCCUGACGCAGCGACGCCGCGUGCGGGACGGAGGCCUUCGGGUCGUAAACCGCUUUCAGCAGGGAAGAGUCAAGACUGUACCUGCAGAAGAA
rnacentral:rRNA from 1 species